UUAAGGCUCCUGAAGGAACGUUGAAGACGACGACGUUGAUAGGCCGGGUGUGUAAGCGCAGCGAUGCGUUGAGCUAACCGGUACUAAUGAACCGUGAGGCUUAACCUUACAACGCCGAAG
rnacentral:rRNA from 3 species